GAUGAAGAACGCAGCGAAAUGCGAUACUUGGUGUGAAUUGCAGAAUCCCGUGAACCAUCGAGUCUUUGAACGCAAGUUGCGCCUCAAGCCAUUAGGUUGAGGGCACGUCUGCCUGGGCGUCACAUAUCGUUGCCUGAUGCCAGUUUCCUCGUGAUGGGUGACUGUGCAGGGCGAAUGAUGGCUUCCCGUGAGCAUUGUUGCCUCAUGGUUGGUUGAAAAUUGAGUCCUUGGUAGGGAGCGCCGUGAUAGAUGGUGGUUGAGUGACGAACGAGACCCAAUCAUGUGAGACCCCUACCGAAUUUGGCAUUCAUGACCCACAUGCGUCUUUGGAACGCUAAUGACGAGACCUCAGGUCAGGCGGGGCUACCCGCUGAGUUUAAGCAUAUCAAUAAGCGGAGGA
rnacentral:misc_RNA from 1 species